GACGAACGCUGGCGGCGUGCUUAACACAUGCAAGUCGAACGGUGAAGCGCCUUCCUUGUUGGUGGGUGUGGAUGAGUGGCGAACGGGUGAGUAACACGUGAGUAACCUGCCCCCUGCUUCUGGAUAACCGCAUGAAAGUGUGGCUAAUACGGGAUAUUCUGGGUCUGUCGCAGGGUGGGUCUGGGAAAGAUAUUGGUUCGGUGGGGGAGGGGCUCGCGGUCCAUCUGCUUGUUGGUGUGGUGAGGGCCUACCACGGCGGUGACGGGUAGCCGGCCUGGGAGGGUGGCCGGCCUGACUGGGUCUGCGGCCCGGUCGAGACUCCUACAGGACCCAGCCGUGGGGAGUAUUGAGCAGUGGGCGCAAGCCUGAUGCGGCGGCGCCCCGGGAGGGAUGGAGGCCUUCGGGUUGUGAACCUCUUUGGCCAGUGAAGCAGGCCUGCCUCGUUUGUGGGUGGGUUGACGGUAGCUGGAUAAGAAGCGCCGGCUAACUACGUG
rnacentral:rRNA from 1 species